rnacentral:rRNA from 1 species
GUGAGGAAUAUUGGGCAAUGGGCGCAAGCCUGACCCAGCAACGCCGCGUGGAGGAAGACGGCCUUCGGGUUGUAAACUCCUUUUACGGGGGAAGAGGAAGGACGGUACCCCGAGAAUAAGUCACGGCUAACUACGUGCCAGCAGCCGCGGUAAUACGUAGGUGACAAGCGUUAUCCGGAAUUACUGGGCGUAAAGCGCACGCAGGCGGCGCGGUAAGUCUGAUGUGAAAUCUCCCGGCUUAACUGGGAGGGGUCAUUGGAAACUGCUGUGCUCGAGGCGAUGAGAGGGGUGUAGAAUUCCCGGUGUAGUGGUGGAAUGCGUAGAUAUCGGGAGGAAUACCAGUGGCGAAAGCGACACCCUGGCAUUAGCCUGACGCUCAUGUGCGAAGGCGUGGGGAGCGAACGGGAUUAGAUACCCGAGUAGUCC